UUAACUGUUUGGGCGAUGGCUCUAUUUUUAAUUUGAAUCAACACAAAAUGAAAAGGGGAAAACUGAUCCUGACAUAGGUGAAACAUAAAGGCCAAAACAAAGUGUCAAUGUUAAAGGAUGUUGGGAGCACUUUUUGUAACUGAGAAGAGUAGUGGAAGCAUGUUAAGAAGGCAGCAAAACAAAACUGAUCAUAUGCUACUUAUAUUUUAUGCACACAUUAAAGACAGCUACACAAUUAAAAAGUGAAAAAAUUCAUGUCAGUGAAACGUUAUUCAUACCUGUAUAUUUUGGCAGUUGAAGGUUCUAGAUAGAAAGUAAAUUCUGCAUAUCUCUAUUCUUCAGAUGUACAAUUAACCAACCGUAUUUUCAAUGAAAAUCUAGGGUCCUAACACAUUCCUGUGUCCGUUUGUUUUAGUGGCAGACAGAAUGCAAGAGUGGUGCGAUUAGGGAGGUUUCCACCCAGAUUUCAGAAGAAACCCUUGGAGCCAGGCAGUACGCCCAUGAGAGGGCAGUGCAUGAAGCUGUAAGAAUGAAACCAAAUGUGGAGUGCAGAUCCCAGGAAAUUGUAAAUGCCAGAAAUUGUGGAAGGUGUGCUGAAGAAAGCCACAAGCACUCCUGCACAAGAGAGGCCACAAGGGCUGUGAACAGCAAUGCCUUAGGGGGGCUUGCAGCUAAAAGUGCCUCGAGGCUCAGAGGUGACUCUGUAUAUGUGCUGCCAAAGCAAGGACUCAGAGACUUUGGACCUGGACUUUUCAUCAGUGCUGGAACUCUUAGAACUUUGGUGACUCUUAAAUAGACUAAAUGUAUGUUGCA